GACAGAGGGUGCAAACGUUGUUCGGAAUUACUGGGCGUAAAGCGCGUGUAGGCUGCUCUGCAAGUCGGAUGUGAAAUCCCCAGGCUUAACCUGGGAACUGCAUUCGAGACUGCAUUGCUAGAGUAUGGGAGAGGGAAGUGGAAUUUCCGGUGUAGCGGUGAAAUGCGUAGAUAUCGGAAGGAACAUCAGUGGCGAAAGCGACUUCCUGGACCAAUACUGACGCUCAUGUGCGAAAGCGUGGGGAGCAAACAGG
rnacentral:rRNA from 1 species